GUGGGGAAUUUUGGACAAUGGGCGAAAGCCUGAUCCAGCCAUGCCGCGUGCAGGAUGAAGGCCUUCGGGUUGUAAACUGCUUUUGUACGGAACGAAAAGACUCUGGUUAAUACCUGGGGUCCAUGACGGUACCGUAAGAAUAAGCACCGGCUAACUACGUGCCAGCAGCCGCGGUAAUACGUAGGGUGCAAGCGUUAAUCGGAAUUACUGGGCGUAAAGCGUGCGCAGGCGGUUAUAUAAGACAGAUGUGAAAUCCCCGGGCUCAACCUGGGAACUGCAUUUGUGACUGUAUAGCUAGAGUACGGCAGAGGGGGAUGGAAUUCCGCGUGUAGCAGUGAAAUGCGUAGAUAUGCGGAGGAACACCGAUGGCGAAGGCAAUCCCCUGGGCCUGUACUGACGCUCAUGCACGAAAGCGUGGGGAGCAAACAGGAUUAGAUACCUAGUAGUCC
rnacentral:rRNA from 1 species